rnacentral:lncRNA from 1 species
CAACCACAAAGACAUGAACUAGAAAGUUGACACACUAGAUCACAAGUGUCAUUACUGAAGAAGCUAUAUCCAACAAGGAAAAUAGCGAGAACAUUGUAGAGAACAUGGAGCA